GUGUGUGUGUGUGUGUGUGUGUGUGUGUGUGUGUGUGCCUGUGUUUAUUUUUGUGUGUCCCUUCAUUCAACCCCCAUUGCUCUGCCACAUGUGUUUUGGUUUUUUGAAGCUUUGGUUAAAGAGAUUGACAUCCCCCUCCAGAACCUGGGCCCAACAGUGCUGUGAGGUGUGAAGGAGCUUCAUGCCACUGUUAUGGCUGUGCAGAAAGAGAGAGGUUUCUCUCUCUAACUCGCAUUUUUUGGAUUUGGGCUGAUGUGAAGGCGUACACAGACUCCUCCCUUGGCAGCCCCCAAACAAAAACCAUCAGACGACACACACACACACACACACACACAUACACACAGAACCUAACGUGAGCCAAAGCACUCUGUCAUACACCCACACACACUUUGAGUUGGCCUCUUCUGAGAGAUCCAUCAGCCCACAGUGUCCAAUCAAAACAAAGACCAAAAAGAAAACAUCCUCUUUCUCUCGUCUGCUGACGAUCUCUUGUCUGUCAGCAUGUGGUUGAUUGGAUGACUGAACUGAGGAGGGGGAGCUGUGUGCACUGCAGGAGGGCCCUAGCGCUACCGUAGCAACCCCUGUGCUCGUCCAACCAGACUGGCACUCUACCUGCACCAUCGCCCAUACAAUGGUUCCAUCUAGUGGCCGCUGGAACAAUAACCGCAGGCUUCAAGUCGAAUUAAAACAGCAUUUUAUGGUUGGUAACAGUUAUGUGUAUGUAUGUGUGUGUGUGUGUGUGUGUGUGUGUGUGUGUGUCUCAGUGCACUUCACCGAUCCAUCCAUCAUCUUUGUCGUUUCAUUGCUGAUGUUGUACCCUCAUUCUAGGGGCUGUCAGUGUCUGUCUGUAAAGAGUCUGAGUGUGUGUGUGUGUGUGUGUGUGUGUGUGUGUGUGUGUGUGUGUGUGUGUGUGUGUGCACGCGUGUGUUUGUUGGCUUACCUGCCUCUCAGUGAAGGCCUCAGCUCAGCUGGUUAUGAGACAGCAAAGGAAAGAAGGGCAGUCAGAUAUUCAAAGCCUUGUCUGGUAGCAAAACUUCUAUUUUUGUAACAUGUACAGUACAUAAGCUCAUAAAAAAACGAGAGUGAGAGAGAGACAAAGAGAGAGAGGUGACACAAAAGCACUUAUUUCUGCAAUAAUUACAAUUGAAGUUUCUAUCCUUUCAAGAAGAAAAAAGCUAUUAUUGGACAAAAGUGCUAUUUUUGGAGUCUUUUGCUAAUUGUUUUGUUCUAGCGUGAUCAAGCUUUUGGGAAUCCAACAUCUCCUUGAUUGUGCCAUAUUUGCUGUCGCUUGUGUAGUCUGUGUCCACAACAGAUUGUUUAGACAUUCCAAGAAAAAAAAACGAACGACAAAAAGCAUGCAGAGUGUUCUAGAAAAUCCCAGCCAACUCCAGACAUUUCCUGCAAAUACCUGAAACAGAUUUAGAAACACUCUUCUUAUUCAUGUUUACUGUGAGGGCAGUCAUUCCUCCAUUUCUCCUGCAUGUUUCUGCUUUCUACCCAUAAUGGGGAGGGGGGGGGGGGGAUGUCUGAAUCGGUUGAUGGAGGAGCCACCGUACUGAGAUGCCAGCAUCUGCACAUAUCACCUAAAGAAGCUUCUCUGUAACGUGUCAUGUCCUAUUCUCCUCAGCUGGUUCAUCAGAUGUAACAUACUGUACACCAGUUGUCAUUCACAGGCCCUGCGAUUAAUGUUAAUAUCCCGUAGUCAUCAUUAGUAAUAGUCCUGCAACUUUACCAGACAGAGACUUGCCUUUAACUCCAGACUUUUAAAAAGAAAAUUAUUUCAGACUGUGAAUGACAAUCUAGGAGUAUGCCCCUACACACACACACCACCCCCUACUGACCCCCACUUGCCCUCACCUGCCCUCAUCUUCAAGACAGAGCAGAGAGCUGAAUUUGAUCAUUCAGUUAAAUCACUCAGGGAGAUUUUUGUUACUCUAAGCUCUAAGUAGGAGGUGUUUAUUAAAGGCAGGUGUGCGUCACACCUCACAAACGUCAGAUGGACCGUGCAUGUGUAUCUCUUUCCGGAAUGUUCCCAAAGGCCUCUACACACAGAGAGCCAGACGCAGAACUGAGGGCCAAAUCCAGAGUCAGCUAACAUCUAGGCUUUGCAGCCUUGUUAUAGUAGCCAAAUGCAUAUCCUCAAUCCUAGCAACGACACAGCAAUAUUCAUUUAACAUUAGAAUUCAUGAGGCAUACAGACAUUAACUCAUCUCUACCUAAACACAAAACACAAAGUCAAAUAUACUUGAAUACAGUUUGUUUAUAUACAGAUUUCUUAAAUACAUUAUUUCAUAUUUUGUCUGUACAUUCUACACAGAAUGAAUGCACGAGCCCCUGCAAAUGCCUAAAAUACUGUUUCAGGCUUUUUGAAACCUAUUUCGGGAGCCUCUUUCCAUUGGGAUUGGCUACUAUCACCCUCUCCUCAUAACCUCAGCCCAUCUCCUGUAGCAGCCUGCUGUGCUGUGGAUAUGUAUGUCUGGAAGGCUGGGAUUCUUCUAGAAUAGUCACUCUGUGGUGGUGAUUCCACGUGCCAAAUACCUCUCCGUGUUCUCUCACUAGCUGACUCCAGGCAGAUAGUAUUUUCAGACUUUACUGAUACGGGUGUCCAAGGGGCUGCCUGUGUGGUCCUUGAGACGUUCUGAUGUGCAGCAAUGCCUAACCUUCAGUGUGAUUCCCUGUCCCAGAAACCUCUGUCUCCCCACCAGUCAACCCCCAAAGCUAUAGGGAGAAAUACUAUCACUCCUCGUGUGGUGUCUUGUAUUAAAGUCCUGUCGAUGUUGCAUAGGCAAAAAAACUAAGCAAUAUAGUAGACUGAGGGGCGAAAAGAGACUUAUUUGGCUUCUUUUUUGUUGGUGGUCAGAGGUACUUAGACAUCUUUGGACCUGUGUAGUUUGAGGACGUGCCACUUAGGGAGACGCUUUGUUGCGGAUAUUAGAAUUUGUAUUUUGACUGGGUUCUGUGGUAUUUGUUUGUCGUGUCUUUGAAUCGGUCUGUGGUUUCUGUCCAGUGUAUCAACACAUGUAAAAGCAAUAUUAGUAUGUUUGUAGGUGUUAGUGUGUGUUUUUGAGAGGCAGUCUGUGUGUGAACACAUAUGCACACAUAUGUGUGUGUGUUUGCUUUUCUGUGUCCAUGUAAGUUACUCCAGUCGAAUCCCAGACAAGGCUUUAAUCGAUGCGGAACAGCAGGGUAAGAUGAUCAGCUGUGUGUGUGUAUGCGUGCGGUGUUACUUUCCCAGUUUAAGGUGAUUUCUUUUGUUGUUGUUGUUGUUUUUUUCGGGUAGCAAAGAGCUCAAGCUCUCUCUCUCUCUUGCGAGGCUGCACAAGCAUGCCGUAAUGCACCUCAUCUCUCCUGCCUAUUCAUCGCCUCCUUAUGCAAACCAAUCAGCGACCUUGUCACGACCUUGUCACGACCUGCGCAGGCACUGGCAUUUUGUAACCCUCCCUUCGUGCUAGAAUGCGUGGCGCCCAUCUUGUGUUUGGACUGCCUGCUGAAUUGUGACAUCGUGCUCUUUUAGAUAUAUAGUAAUAAGACAUGAAGUGUAACGUCACACUCGUGACAGUGUCCAUAUUCAGAAGGUGUGGAGGUAUGACCGAGAUCCCAGAUCAGCCAUUCUCCUUGCAGUUUUUAUAUAUAUAAAAAGUUACUGAAAGUCUGUUUUAUCUUCUCCCAAAAGCACAUCUGACACAGUAAUUGAAAGUGAAAUAUGUUUCAGAAUAUAGAAAUAAAAAAGAUCAUUAAAAAAUAAAUAAAAAAUGAAAAAUCUUUUAGCCAUAAUCGAAUGUCAAGCAAUAAUAUAUAUGGUGUAUUAUUAUAAUUAUUAAUUUUGUGCAUAGGCUUUGAACAUCUGCAUGUAAAUACACCUCUUAUUUAUCUUGGGUUAUGUUUUAACUUUGUGUUUCUUUGUUUGUUUAUUUUACCUUCUUUUUUGAUUUUGUUUGUUUGUUUGUUUUUUGUCUGUAUAUUUGACUGGUUCUGUUCCCGGGUGGAGAACUAAGAACUUCAUAUGGCCUGUAUGCUGUAAAGCUUCAUUUCUCACUUUCUCUCUCCCUCACUCUCUGCUUUUUAAUUCACAAUAUUUAAUGUUAUUAUUGAUCACAUGUAUAAAGUUAACUUUGUAACUUCUGUCUGUAUAGGUAAGAAGAAAAUACUGCUAUUAAGGCCUACUCAGUGCAAAUAUUUAUCUGUUUAUUGAGUACACCAUGCUGUAAAGAUAUCUCUGUUUUUAGUAUACUUCUCUCUUUUAGACUUAGUUUGAUAGAGGUAGGGUGUGCACAUUUAAUUUGUGUUAUUCAGAUGUGUGGUGCUAGGUAAGUUACUUUUGUGAACAAAACAAAUCUUGAUUCAUAGACUAGGCCACCCUUUUAGUCCACUCAUUUCUCUGAGUAUUGAUGCAUUAUUGAUAUUAGGACUCAAUAAAUGAUAAUUAUAAUGAUAACAAUGGUAAAGAAACUGAUAGUGGUUUUAAAAUGACUUUAAUACCCAGCGAGUACCUGUAUCAGUGUGCUAGUCUUGGGAUAUGGCUAUUUCCUUCACACUUUAAGAUUUUUAGCAAAGAAAAAAAAACAGUAUUGAUUAAUUCAAAAGGCUAUUAAACUUGCAUUUCUCAUUUUUUAUUUUUUAUUUUUUAUUGAAAACAUGGAAUGGGUUUGCUCAUGCUUGUAAACUACAGUAUUGUGUUUCUCCUAGUUCUGAUUGUGAAAACCACUGGUUGGAUAUGUUGCUGGUUUGUUUUGCAAAUACAAAUACCUACAGCUGCGGGUUUUCGGUAUCUACAGCUGGAAAGGACUUGAGUUCUUUAAACUGAUACUGGAAAUAACUGUACGGGUGAUGCUUGAUAUAAGGCACAUUUUUGCUCCCUUAUUUAAAAUUCAACCAGCUUCUUUUGAUGGCAGUUUCCCGGAGACAACCGUCACAGAUUCCUGUUUUACAAGCAACUUGUGUUCCUGCUCACCCUUACAAGAAUUCAUAACUCAAAUGUACAAGAAAAAAAAACAGCUAAACAAAAUCAUUUGUUUAUUUUGUUCCUCUCUGUAGCAGUCAGAUAAUACUCGCAAUAAUAAACAUUGAACUACACUGAGCGAUCCUUAGUGUUACAGGAUGCAGACAUUAUAUUCAGCUGUUGCUAUUGUUUUGUUUCUUUUGAUUUUCAAACAUGUACUCGAAUGACAAUGUAUUUGCACAUUUAGGUGACUUUUAUCUAUCUUGUGUGUCCAACUUUUUCAUACGCUGUCUUUAUAAGUAAUUGGUGUUUUUCAUGUUUGUUUAAGACCAUAGAAACAAUUAGGUCCAUCUAUUGCAAUGUGCUGUAUAUUUCAGUUGACAACCCAUUUUUUGCAAUGCUCAGUAUAUCCACUCUUAUCCAUUUUCAUUUUCUGUCAGCAACUCAGCUAAGACUGUUGAACCAUUAUAAUGUAAGAGAGCAUAAUGGCCUGUGUGGUCUAACAGACAUUGGGUAAAAAGACAACUGUGGCAGAAUCAGGUUUAGAUUUCUGUAGAAGAAUGGACAGUUAGACAAUCCACUUUUUUGUUCCACCCUCAGUUUUACAAUGUUAAAACUUCAGUUUAUUGUUGCAAACAAAAAAAAUGACUAAAGCAUUGUAUUUUAAGUAUUCACAUGUGUAUGUAAAAAUAUGCAUACUACACAUCUGGAUCUGUUAACUGUUGUUUGUUUCAUGUGAGCUUAAAGGGUUGGGAGACUGGGGGUGAGGCAGGGGUUCGGGUAGGGUGGGGGGUUGGUUCGCUCCACGUUAAAGCAGCAUAAAAAAUGUGGGGGAAAAGCCGAGAACGGUUUGUGGUUUGUCACAAAUUUUUAUGUCACACGUUUGCUACUGAUCUUAAAAUGGGGACAGAUGAUCAUGUACCUUUUUACCCAGCUCUUUUAAACUCUAUUUAGGAGGUAGUGUCUUCACAAGUAGUUUUGCUCCUUCUUGUCUGAUUCCUAAAUAUGGAAAAUAAGUAUUUUGAUUCAUUUUGUAAAUACAGCUGUAAAGAAAAAUAAGAAAUUUAAUGUUGUCUUUUAAAUACUUUUCAUUCUAAUAUGAAUGUUGUUAUAUUGUACUUAGAAAACUGUACCUUUAAUAUUACCUUUAUUAAAAGUGCAUUGGACACAUCGAUUUUAGAUGUGCUUUAUGUGCUGUUAUCCCAUAAUAAAAUUUACCGCUUGUAAUGGGCUCUUA
ensembl:lncRNA